rnacentral:rRNA from 1 species
AGUGAACGCUGGCGGCGUGCUUAACACAUGCAAGUCGAACGAGAAACGGUCUAGCUUGCUAGAUGCAGUCUAAGUGGCGCACGGGUGAGUAAUGUAUAGGUAAUGUGCCUUUUAGUGGGGGAUAACAGUUGGAAACGACUGCUAAUACCCUAUAUUCCUUAUUAACAAAAGUGUGUAAGGGAAAGAUUUAUUGCUAAAAGAUCGGCCUAUAUUGUAUCAGCUUGUUGGUGAGGUAAUGGCUCACCAAGGCAAUGACGCAUAACUGGUUUGAGAGGAUGAUCAGUCACACUGGAACUGAGACACGGUCCAG